rnacentral:tRNA from 1 species
UUCUUUUUAGUUUAAAAAGAGAAUGUUUGCCUUCCAAGCAAAAGGUCCUAAAAAGGAAAAGAAA